UCAAGCUACUAAGGGCAUACGGUGGAUGCCUUGGCACUAAGAGCCGAUGAAGGACGCGGUAAGCUGCGAAAAGCCACGGGGAACUGCAAGCAAGUCUUGAUCCGUGGAUGUCCGAAUGGGGAAACCCACCAUCCGUCAUGGGAUGGUAUCCUACGGGAGGGGAACCCGGUGAACUGAAACAUCUAAGUAGCCGGAGGAAGAGAAAUCAAACGAGAUGCCCACAGUAGCGGCGAGCGAAGAGGGCAGAGCCUAAACCAGUCAUCUUCGGAUGGUUGGGGUUACGGACCUGCAUCAACCGAGUCCUACCUAGUCGAAUUACCUGGAAAGGUAAGCCAGAGAGCGUAAGAGCCGCGUAGGUGAAAGGAAGGACGAGGGGGCAGGGAUCCAGAGUACCACGAAGCACGAGGAAUUUUGUGGGAAGUCGGGGGGACCACCCUCCAAGGCUAAACACUUCUUAGUGACCGAUAGCGCAUAGUACCGUGAGGGAAAGGUGAAAAGAACCGCGGGAGCGGAGUGAAAGAGAACCUGAAACCGUAUGUCUACAAGCAGUCGGAGCGCAAGCGACGGCGUGCCUAUUGAAGAAUGAGCCAACGAGUUACGGGCACCAGCGAGGUUAAGCAGGAAAUGCGGAGCCGGAGCGAAAGCGAGUCUAAACAGGGCGAAUAGUUGGUGUUCGUAGACCCGAAACUGUAGUGAUCUACCCAUGAUCAGGUUGAAGCGCAGGUAAAAAUGCGUGGAGGACCGAACCGGUGAGCGUUGAAAAGCUUUCGGAUGAAUCGUGGGUAGCGGUGAAAUUCCAAUCGAACGCAGAGAUAGCUGGUUCUCCUCGAAAUAGCUUUAGGGCUAGCCUCAAGCAGUAAGCAUAGGCGGUAGAGCACUGAUCGGGAUAGGGUCCGUAAAGGAUACCGAACCCUGUCAAACUACGAAUGGUUAUGCUGCAGAGCUUGGGAGUCAGACUACGAGAGAUAAGUCCCGUUGUCAAAAGGGAAACAGCCCAGACCGUCAGCUAAGGUCCCCAAUGCCAUACUAAGUGGAAAAGGAUGUGGGGUCUCAUAAACAACCAGGAUGUUGGCUCAGAAGCAGCCACCAUUUAAAGAGUGCGUAAUAGCUCACUGGUCGAGAGGCCCUGCGCCGAAGAUUCCCGGGGCUAAAGUAUGGAACCGAAGCUACGGAUGCGGUACUUGUACCGCGUGGUAGAGGAGCGUUCCCAUUGGGUUGAAGUCGUCCUGGAAAGGACGGUGGACUGGUGGGAAGUGAGAAUGUUGGCAUGAGUAGCGAAAAGAUAGGUGAGAAUCCUAUCCACCGAAAGCAUAAGGAUUCCUGAGCAACGAUCGUCGUCUCAGGGUAAGUCGGGACCUAAUCCGAGGCAUGGAGCGUAGGAGAUGGACAACUGGUUGAUAUUCCAGUACCGGCAGCAAUCGUUUGAACGAUGGAGUGACGCAGGAAGGCAGGUCCGCGCGAGAAUGGUAGAUCGCGUACAAGCGUGCAGGCUGGUGCACAGGCAAAUCCGUGUACUGAGGCUGAGGCGUGAUGUGGAGGGAACUUGUUCCCGAAGGGAUUGAGCCUACGCUGCCGAGAAAAGCUUCUAGUGAGAAAGCUGCCGCCCGUACCGUAAACCGACACAGGUAUGCGGGGAGAGAAUCCUAAGGUGCGCGGGAGAACCCUCGUUAAGGAACUCGGCAAAAUGUACCCGUAACUUCGGGAUAAGGGUAGCCACAGUGGUGAAGGGACUUGCUCCUGGAGCCUAGUGUGGUCGCAGAGAAGAGGCCCAAGCGACUGUUAACCAGAAACACAGGUGCCUGCGAAAGAGAAAUCUGAUGUAUAGGUGCUGACACCUGCCCAGUGCUGGAAGGUUAAAGAAGGAUGUCCGGGUUCGACCCAAAGCAUUUGACUGAAGCCCCAGUGAACGGCGGCCGUAACUAUAACGGUCCUAAGGUAGCGAAAUUCCUUGUCAGGUAAG
rnacentral:rRNA from 1 species